rnacentral:rRNA from 1 species
AUUGAACGCUGGCGGAAUGCUUUACACAUGCAAGUCGAACGGUAACAGGUUAAGCUGACGAGUGGCGAACGGGUGAGUAAUACAUCGGAACGUGCCCAGUCGUGGGGGAUAACGUAGAGAAAUUUACGCUAAUACCGCAUACGAUCUAAGGAUGAAAGCGGGGGACCGUAAGGCCUCGCGCGAUUGGAUCGGCCGAUGUCAGAUUAGGUAGUUGGUGGGGUAAAGGCCUACCAAGCCGACGAUCUGUAGCUGGUCGGAGAGGACGACCAGCCACACUGGGACUGAGACACGGCCCAGACUCCUACGGGAGGCAGCAGUGGGGAAUUUUGGACAAUGGGCGCAAGCCUGAUCCAGCCAUUCCGCGUGCAGGAUGAAGGCCCUCGGGUUGUAAACUGCUUUUGUACAGAACGAAAAGGUCUGGGUUAAUACCCUGGGCUCAUGACGGUACUGUAAGAAUAAGCACCGGCUAACUACGUGCCAGCAGCCGCCGUAA